rnacentral:rRNA from 1 species
UGAGCUUGAUCCUGGCUCAGGACGAACGCUGGCGGUAUGCCUAAUACAUGCAAGUCGAACGCUGAAGCACUCUGCUUGCAGAGUGUGGAUGAGUGGCGAACGGGUGAGUAACACGUGGGGAACCUGCCCAUAAGAGGGGGAUAACAUCCGGAAACGGGUGCUAAUACCGCAUAGGUGAUCAUAGCGCAUGCUUAGAUCAUUAAAGAUGGCUUCGGCUAUCGCUUAUGGAUGGCCCCGCGGCGUAUUAGCUAGUUGGUGAGGUAAUGGCUCACCAAGGCUGUGAUACGUAGCCGACCUGAGAGGGUGAUCGGCCACACUGGAACUGAGACACGGUCCAGACUCCUACGGGAGGCAGCAGUAGGGAAUCUUCCACAAUGGGCGAAAGCCUGAUGGAGCAAUACCGCGUGAGUGAAGAAGGUCUUCGGAUCGUAAAGCUCUGUUGUUAGAGAAGAACAAGAGGUGUAGUAACUGGCACCUCCUUGACGGAU